rnacentral:misc_RNA from 1 species
AAGAAUAUGAAAUCUCACUCAGAUUGUAAAAGAGUAAACAAUAUUAAAUAAAAGCCGUCCCUUACAUUGAAUAAUAGGUGACCUUUUGUUGUGGUAUUGGUUCCACGCGCAUGGCACUAGAAUAUGUUUCUUGAACAGAAUAACACAAUAUCACUACACAAUUGCCGAUCAAACCUACAUAUAUUUUGAAGGGACUUCCACCAGCCACCACACUUU